rnacentral:rRNA from 1 species
CCAAGGAGUCUAACAUGUGCGCAAGUCAUCGGGUCUUGAAUAAUCCCGUAGGCGAAAUGAAAGUGAAGGGCGACAUCCGUCGUCUGCGUUGGGACCCCGGCCACUCGUGGUCGGGAGCACCAACGGCCCGUCCCGAUCGCAUCGUCGAUGGGGCGGAGCGAGAGCGUACACGUUGGGACCCGAAAGAUGGUGAACUAUGCCUGGGCAGGACGAAGCCAGAGGAAACUCUGAUGGAGGUCCGCAGCGAUUCUGACGUGCAAAUCGAUCGUCAGACCUGGGUAUAGGGGCGAAAGACUAAUCGAACCAUCUA